UACAGAGGUCUCAAGCGUUGUUCGGGAUUCAUUGGGCGUAAAGGGUGUGUAGGUGGCGCCGUAAGUCGGGUGUGAAAUUUCGGAGCUUAACUCCGAAACUGCAUUCGAUACUGCGGUGCUUGAGGACUGGAGAGGAGACUGGAAAUUCAUGGUGUAGCAGUGAAAUGCGUAGAGAUCAUGAGGAAGACCAGUGGCGAAGGCGGGUCUCUGGACAGUUCCUGACACUGAGACACGAAGGCCAGGGGAGCAAACGGG
rnacentral:rRNA from 1 species